rnacentral:rRNA from 1 species
UGGGGAAUCUUGCGCAAUGGGCGAAAGCCUGACGCAGCGACGCCGCGUGAGUGAUGAAGGCCUUCGGGUUGUAAAGCUCUGUGGGGAGAGACGAAUAAGUCAGCGUAAAUAUCGCUGGUGAUGACGGUAUCUCCUUAGCAAGCACCGGCUAACUCUGUGCCAGCAGCCGCGGUAAGACAGAGGGUGCAAACGUUGUUCGGAAUUACUGGGCGUAAAGCGCAUGUAGGCGGCCUCACAGGUCGGAUGUGAAAUCCCUCGGCUCACCCGAGGACGUGCAUUCGAAACCGUGAGGCUCGAGUCCCGGAGAGGGUGGUGGAAUUCUCGGCGUAGAGGUGAAAUUCGUAGAUAUCGGGAGGAACACCGGCGGCGAAAGCGGCCACCUGGACGAGGACUGACGCUGAGAUGCGAAAGCGUGGGGAGCAAACAG